rnacentral:rRNA from 1 species
UACGUAGGUGGCAAGCGUUGUCCGGAUUUAUUGGGUUUAAAGGGUGCGUAGGCGGUUUUUUAAGUCAGUGGUGAAAUCCUAUAGCUUAACUAUAGAACUGCCAUUUAUACUGUGAUUCUUGAAUAUAGUUGACGUGGGCGGAAUAUGACAUGUAGCGGUGAAAUGCUUAGAUAUGUCAUAGAACACCAAUUGCGAAGGCAGCUCACGAAACUAUUAUUGACGCUCAGGGACGAAAGUGUGGGUAGCAAACAGG